rnacentral:rRNA from 1 species
GUAGGUGACCUGCGGAAGGAUCAU